rnacentral:rRNA from 1 species
GGGCCCGCACAAGCGGUGGAGCAUGUGGUUUAAUUCGAUGCAACGCGAAGAACCUUACCUACCCUUGACAUCCUCGGAAUCUGCCGGAGACGGCGGAGUGCCUUCGGGAACCGAGUGACAGGUGCUGCAUGGCUGUCGUCAGCUCGUGUCGUGAGAUGUUGGGUUAAGUCCCGCAACGAGCGCAACCCACGUCUUUAGUUGCCAGCAUUUAGUUGGGCACUCUAGAGAGACUGCCGGUGAUAAACCGGAGAAGGUGUGGAUGACGUCAAGUCAUCAUGCCCCUUACAUCUGGGCUACACACGUACUACAAUGCUACGGACAAAGGGCAGCAAGUUCGCGAGGACAAGCAAAUCCCAUAAACGUGGCUC